UGCCGUUUUAUUGCUACUGACAACCACUGUAUUCUAGGCUGUCAUAGAGAACACUGCUACAUCAUAUCUACUAUAGAUUACAAGCCACCCUAUCUAAAUUGAACCCUGCCACAGUAGCUCUUACUGAUGAGAAAACCUUUUUCACCAGGACAGGAGACCAUAUGCAAUCUUGAUUACUAAGCAGCAGAGGAUAAAAUACAGUAGAUAAUUCUACUUGCAUGGGGCAAGAAGUACAGGAACACAAAAGAAUGUACCAUAGCUUAUAAUGGACAAUUAAUCAUUCUCUAUAUGCGUAUCUAACUACUCAGCUACAUGCAGACAUCUGAAUAAAGCCUGAGCCAUCAACAAAUGACACUCCAGGAAACCUACUGUAUUCAGACCAAUGUGACAAGAAAUAUUUAUCAGGAAAUAAGUAGGUAGCCAGCAUAAACUCAGGUAAAUAACAAGGAUGAAGAAACAAUGAGAGGUUGUGAUGACCCCACCAAAUAUGAUCAGGGUAAAGAAAGAAAGUCCCUGUCAAAUAUUAAGGAUUAAUAGUUUUCUUAUUGUUAAUAAGUAGAUAAUCAAGUUAUAAAUUUAGGGUGUAAUACAGAAUCUUGUGUUUGGUCAUAGAACAUUAUUACUCGUUGUUAUGUAGCGAAUCAGAGGAGGGGGUGUUGAUAAAAAUGUGGUGUCAACUUGGGCAUAAAAGCAUACUGAAACUUAAGUCUUUGCCUUUGUUUGUGUACAGCCCCUUGUCUGUAUGUACUAAGCCAGAUCACUGGCAGGUCAUGCUCAACUGAUCACAGGGGUGUGGUACUUUGUACCGCUACUGAUAUAAACCUGUUACUUGGAUCUGAACUCUGGAGUUAGCAGUGGUUUUGCCUGCUACAGCAAGUAGUGGUUGUUGGCUUUGCUGGGUUUGUAAAAUAGCCUGUGGGCCUGGUUGGUGGCCCUGAAAACAAACUUGCACACUGUACCUCAAAGCAACACCCUGGAACCCCCCAUCAUGUAAUUAUGAUAUAUUUCAUACAAAGCAUGCCAUAUAAGAAAAUAUAUGAAAUGUCAUGAUCUUCUGAAACCCAUUGUUCUGUCAAAAUAUGUACAUCUUUAGUAAGUAUGAAGUUUGAGAUUUUGCUGUAUAGUUGUUACUGAAAUAUGUUGUUAGUUAGAGAGUCUCCACUGCUAAGGCUACAGUGACAAAGGAGGUGACCCAUUCCCAGGACAGUGUUAAAUAACCAUUAAUCAGCAGGGGAGCUGUAAUCAAGAGAUUUACAAUGCUGUAAGAGGGCCGUGCAAGAAUCACACAAUGGGGGAUUGCUCAACUCUGACUCAGCAAAGUCCACCAGGACAUGUCCGGGCUAGUGUUUUCCAGGCACACGGACUGAGGAUAUAAAAUAGAAUAGAGGACAAUGGCAUCAUGCUUUUAUCUGUCUUCUCCCCUGCCUAUACUGGAAGCAACAAGAAUGCUGGGAAGAGAAAGACCUGAACUGAGGAGACUGGUCCCAUGCUUGAUGGGAAAGCCUGUGUACUAAAAACUAUAACCUAUCUGCAACACCCAAUGGAGUGAGAAAAACUGCUUGGCUUGAUCCAAAUACUGACUAUUAUAAUAAGGUUUAAGAUUUAAACAGUGUGCCUAUCUUUUGUUUUCUUUGGUAAUUAUCUCUGACCUUUUGUGCCUGCCACUUAUAAUCUUUCUGUAGUUAAUAAAUCUGUGUUAUAUUUCACCUAAAACAGUGUGUUUUGCUUGAAGUGCUUGGGAAAUCUCAGCUCA